GCGGCCGCCUUUGCCCGGAGCCCGGGGACCGAGCGCCGGACCCGCCGCCUGGCGCACGGACGCGGAGCUCCCGCUUUGUGCUCCGCGCCGGUUCGACGAGCAUUCCCGGAGGCUGCGGCCACCGCGCCCCGGCGGCCUCGGAGGCCCGCGGCUGGAGGUGCCGGAGCCGCUCGGUCCGCGCGGCUGAGCCCCGCGUGCCCCACUGCUCGCCGGGCUGCUCCGAGCCGCGGUGCUCCGGGGCUCCAAACUCGGGCUGGCGGGGCAAGUGUCUUCAUGAACCCAGAGGAUGUCCGGGAAGCACUACAAGGGUCCUGAAGUCAGUUGUUGCAUCAAAUACUUCAUUUUUGGCUUCAAUGUCAUAUUUUGGUUUUUGGGAAUAACGUUUCUUGGAAUUGGACUGUGGGCGUGGAAUGAAAAAGUAAGUGGAACUCGACGGAGAGGAACAGGUUUGGUUCAAGGCCGUGUCUCGUCUCGAGUGUUUCCCCUUGAUCUUCGAUCAGCACAGGGUUACAAAC
rnacentral:lncRNA from 1 species